rnacentral:rRNA from 1 species
CAAGCGUUAUCCGGAAUUAUUGGGCGUAAAGCGUCCGCAGGCGGUUUUACAAGUCUGUCGUUAAAGCGUGGAGCUCAACUCCACUUCAGCGAUGGAAACUGUAAGACUCGAGUGUGGUAGGGGCAGAGGGAAUUCCCGGUGUAGCGGUGAAAUGCGUAGAUAUCGGGAAGAACACCAGUGGCGAAAGCGCUCUGCUGGGCCAUAACUGACGCUCAUGGACGAAAGCCAGGGGAGCGAAAGGGAUUAGAUACCCCUGUAGUCCUGGCCGUAAACGAUGAACACUAGGUGUCGGGGGAAUCGACCCCUCCGGUGUCGUAGCCAACGCGUUAAGUGUUCCGCCUGGGGAGUACGCACGCAAGUGUGAAACUCAAAGGAAUUGACGGGGGCCCGCACAAGCCGGUGGAGUAUGUGGUUAAUUCGAUGCAACGCGAAGAACCUUACCAGGGCUUGACAUCCUGCGAAUCCCUUGGAAACGAGGGAGUGCCUUCGGAGCGCAGAGACAGGUGGUGCAUGGCUGUCGUCAGCUUCGUGUCGUGAGAUGUUGGGUUAAGUCCCGCAACGAGCGCAACCCACGUCUUUAGUUGCCAGCUUUAGUUGGGCACCCUAGAGAGACCGCCGGUGACAAACCGGAGGA